UAGUUCGUUCGUCUGGUAAUUUUGUCACUAGCCGAUCGUAACCGUCACUUGCGUUUGAAUCUUGUCCCACUGCUCCUCAUUUUAGUGCAAACGAUUCGGCGGUAUGGGGCGUUUUCUAUGAUUCCAGUUUAACUUAUUUCGCGUCUGAUGUUUUCCCUGCGGGCUGGGGGCGUUUAUUUUAGAUUAAAGUAGAAGUACGGGAGGGGCACGUAGAUCAAGAGGAGGUUCCCCGCUGAAUCCUGAUAAGUGGUGUAAUUCCUGGUCUAGCAGUGUGUUUAAUCGUCGCUGAACUGGCAUAUUAGUACCCAACCUUGAGACCAUGAACCCUAGGACCUUUGGUCGGUUUGGCAGUCAGCGAAAGGAGGGAAUUUGGCGCUUUGGCUACUCUUAAUGUGUAAUUUCAUUCAUUGGCUUUUUUCAGUCUCUCUUUUACGCAACAAUUCUUGUUAACCGGAGAUUAGUUGUUUUAUUAUUUUUUUCUUUUUUCAGGUUUGCUGUAGUUUAAGUAUGGGGCUCGUGCGUAAAGAUGUUAUGAAACCAGUUACUUUAGCUGGGGCAAAGUGUCUCUCCGAAUGUUGUUGUCCGGAAAACAUCUAGCUUAUCUUAAGCAGGAUGUUAACUUUUUAAAAUGUAUGGUGCCUGUUUGUGAAUCAUUAGAGAAAAACCUAAUUCCGCUUGUUUACUUUUAAGUUAUCCAGGGACCUCCACUGUGUGUAAAAUAUUUAAAUUUAGUUCAGUAAUCUAAUCAGUUCGUGUAGUUUUCGUGUUCUUGCCCCGCUAAGUCGGUUCCCUCUGAGUACUCUGCUUUUGCCCAGCAAUCCUCCAUGUCUGCCCAGAGAUGGACUGUAAUCUCAUUGGAACCCCAGGGGUACCAAUGCUUAGUGUCCUAUACUAGUAGGCUCUAGUCCCACCCCCAUCUUUGUACUUGUUAGCUAAACUAAUUUGAUCAUAUAGGUAGGGACUGACAUAACUGGUACGCAAGUAUGCCGUUGUGGUAUAUAGGUUAAAAUGCACUGUAAUUUCUUGUCAUAACAGCACAGGCACUUACUGUUCAGAGGAGUGGAAAUCCUUCAGUGGGGUGUGGUGAGACAAGGCAGUAUGUAAGGGAGACAUGGCUGUUUUUCAUAGGCCUCUCAUUGGCUUCCUGGUCAUCUUCACCCACACCUAUGCAGGCAUCAGAGGCAAUUAGAGCUUCCAUUUGAGCUGAUCUGCAUUUCACUGGGUUGGGGAAAGUGUGGGGGAUGGGCAAGGAACCCAGAGUGAGGUCACACACCCAUAUGCCAUAUGCAUGGGCAGCUGGAAAUGUUUCGUGAAAGCUCUGUUGCUUAUUGAAUCCAGUUCAGGCUUGUGUGUUUAAAUCAGUGCAUUCAUGAAAUGUGAUAGGGCGGUGUUGGUCCAAAGCAGGACCAGAUGUGAAGGGACUGGUGUGAUCAUGCCGUCUGAUCUGAUUGGUCAGUCUGUAGGGAGAAGGUACAGGUCACAGGGGGGGUGGGAGAGUGGGAGUAUUUUGAUGCUCAUGUUGGCCUGAGGCAUCAAGUGUUCCUGACCGGGGGGGCUGCAUUCUGGGUUUUUUUGGGUGAUGUGCACAGGCAGCUGGAAAUGUUUCAUUAACCACACUAGCACAUUUAUAUUGAGUAUAAUUGACGUAGUAUUUUUUUCUUAAAAGUAGAGAUGCGAGAUGCACGUUUAAUUAAAAAAAAAAAGUACUGAUGUUUUUGCACCCUCAAGGUGUUACUGGAUUUAAUCUGCUAAACGGUUUGUGUCAAAGGCACGCAACCAGUCCCCUUAAUGAAUUUUAGGGAGGCUCACCAGACACCUGCUCCUCCACCCACCUUACAUGGUCGUGUUUGAUGGAAAACUGAGUUCUUUCGCUUUUCUUCUAUGGGUGCUCCUUUCGUGAGGUGCAAACAUGUCAAUAGCCUCAGGUGACAGGUGUGACUAUAUUGAUGCCAUGUUGGUGUGUUGCUCUGUGAAAGAAGGUCACAGAGUUAACUGGGGUGGGGGCGCAUGUAGCACAGAACCUAUGCUGCAAUGGGCUGUGUAGCUGUAUUUUACCACAUUGCUCGGUGGUCAAACGACUGUCUGGUUCGUGCUGAGUUUUACAUUUAUGCAUGGGUUGGGUUUCUGGCUCCAGGCAUAGUCGGCGCUGUCACAUUGCAUUAGAUGUAGUCGCUUGAUUCACUAUACGCAAUUUAGGCUUUCGGUAAAGGAGCCAUUUUGGUUGCGUGACCUGCAGGCAGACCGGAAUGGGCAUGCCUGCUGUGAUGUCACAACACAUGUGGCCUGCCUGGCCCUCUAUGGUGGUCGCUAGUCAUGUGACCAGACAUCCCGGUCCUCCCUCUGGCUGCUUUCCGCAAAUCUGCUUUCUGCUUUCCACUAGCCUAGUGGGUCAGCUAAGGUACUGUGGUUAUCUCAGAAACUCUCCAUAGCUCUUUGAUGCAAUCAUGUUUUCAGGCUUGUUGUAACCCCCCAAACCUCACAAAACCACAUUCCCAUGUGCCUACUAGAUGAGAGAGUCUCUUCUGAUGACUUUGGAGGUGUGUCUGCCGAUAAAGUGACAUGUGCUGACAUCUCUGUGAGUGUGUCGGUUUGUGUGAGCGCGUGCGUGAGCCUGCCCUUCUGGUUGGAUGGGGUAGGUUGUAUAAAAGGGCGGAGCGUGAGGUGGAGCCCACUCAGUACGACGAGUUUUCGCUGAGCUCUGGGAUGUUAUCUGCUGUCAGGGGCUUUUAGUUGGUGGGGAGGCGGGCCUGUGUGGAGAACCGGUGGUCCCCAACAGCCUGUUGAAGAUCAGAGCUGUGCUGCAGUGAUCUUGCCGUGCUGGAACCAUGAUACUCAGGCUUGGGCGUCUCACUCCGGGAUACUUCAGACUCCUCCAGCGGCAGGUGGCAGGUGAGGUGCGGACCCCGCCCCCGGACCGAGGUAUAAACCAGCUCGCUGCCCUGCUGGCCACCAUGGGCCUCAGCCUGUCCUACUACAGUGCACGGCGGAUGACGGAGACGGUGCACAACGGGCCGACUGCCUGAGGCCCCCCCUCCUGAGCCGCUCUGCCUCCCUGCUCUUCGCAGCUACUGUCGACGUGAGCACCUCAUCAUCCAGGGGGGUGCUUACUUGGGACUCCUUGGUUUUGGCAAACCAACUUAAAAAUCGCCAUUGAAAGCUGCUUGCAGGCCUCUCCACACUUGGAGCAAAAUUUCACUUCUGUUCUGGAAUUUUGAGCAACUUUAGAAAUAGGGGUACUUUUGAGGAAUGCCCCCCCCACACACACACCAUCUUUUAGUUUGUGUAAAGUGAUUUUAAUGGAGCUUUACUGAGUUCCUGGUCUAUACUAUGAAGACAAGACAGUGACUGGUCAAUAUUGAAAACGUAACAGAAGAAAUCGGCUGCGUCUCAGACACAGUGUCAGCCUGAGGAUCCCAGUCAUGCUGAAAUGAAGGGGGGCUUGUUCACCACCAGGGCGGCGACAAUCAGCCUCUUUCCCGUUUCCCAUUUGGUGUGAAAUCUGUUUCAACUGUCUAUUAAAAGCAAGACUAUCUGCAAGACUGCAGAGAAUUCAGCAUUUCAUAUCCUGGUCAGUUCCAUUGUGUCCUACAUGGAAUUCCGACGGUCUGCUGUGAUCCCCGGCUGUGGAGCGACAGGUGCUGAAAGUCAUCCAGAGAAGCUGUGGUGACCUGCAGGCAGACAGCUGCAGGCGGGGCAUCCAUCCAUCCAUUUUCCAAACCGCUUAUCCUACUGGGUCGCGGAGGGGGUCCGGAGCCUAUCCCGGAAGCAAUGGGCACGAGGCAGGGAACAACCCAAGAUGGGGGGGCCAGCCCAUCGCAGGGCACACUCACACACCAAUCUCUCACACACGCACUCCUACGGGUAAUUUAGCAACUCCAAUUAGCCUCAGCAUAUUUUUGGGCUGUGGGGGGAAACCGGAGUACCCGGAGGAAACCCCACGACGACAUGGGGAGAACAUGCAAACUCCACACACAUGUGACCCAGGCGGAGACUCGAACCCGGGUCCCAGAGGUGUGAGGCAACAGUGCUAACCACUGCAUCACCAUGCCGCCCUGUUGCAGGCAUAAUGAAGCAAAAAAAAGCUAAGAGCGGACACAGUGCGUCCAGGCAUACAGCCGCAGAUGCCCGUGGGUUUUGCCACUGGCUGUCUGCUUCUCUACAAGUUUACGCUUGUACAAGUAUCCAGCGGAGCAAAUGGGAAGGUAGCACUGCAUUCUGACAGCACAGCUUCCUAAUCUGCAUCAGGUAUUUUUUUCUACCGAACUCCAUUUUAUUUGUGAGAAGCCCAACAUCUCUACAACUGAUAUCUCCAAAAUUAAUCUUCUCCAAGUAGAACAACCUACAGGAUUGACUUUUGCCAGCUGGCUGGCAUGAGAUUUUCAAUUCCAGACAUGUCUGCACACACAUUUUUAUGUAUGUAAGAAUUAUAUUACCUUAUACUGUAAAUAGUCUGUAGGGUUUUCAAGGUACCGCAAUGCUUUAGAUGUCGCUAAUCUUAAGUUUAUAAUGAAGUAAUGUACAUUUGCAGAAAGUGUGAGUGUCACGCCAGAUGCGUGAGAGUUGGCAACCGGGGACCUAGAUGAUAUAUAGCACUAAAGCCCCUCUAAAAUAUCUUUUUUUAGCUUUAGGGUGAACUGUCCCUUUAAAUUCAGUAAGCAAGGCUUAUUAUGGGUGUUCAUGAAGGACCUUCAUGCAUUGCUUUACAUGUGUGCUGUUAACCAGUGUGGGGUGGAUGAUUUGGAUGUAAGUGCUUAUCAGGUUCCCAUGGUGUUUUACUGGUUUCAUGCAGAUCUUCUCCAGUGAGUUUUUUUACCACCAGCCUCUAGGUCUGCCAGGAGGGCAAAGCCAAGGUCAACACUGCUGAAAAUAUAGCGGCACUCUUGUGAAUCUCCCUAAAAAAAUGAACAGGCAUCACUACGGACAGAUCUGGCCUCUAGGAAAGUGGGGAAACCCGUCAUGUCAGUCGGCAUGCUGUUAUUUCGCCAUAGAAAGCUACUCGCUCGAAUUUGAGCACUGGUGUGCUAAGGGUCAAGGGGCAACAGAGGGGAUAAGAACGAGUGGAAUGUGUUAACUGCCUCUGCCUGGAUUACAGGGCAAGCAUGAGACCCUGCAUACCCCCCCCAACACUCCUGGCUACACAGUACCUCUGCUAUACUUUUUGGACUGUAGCUAGGUGACACCUUGAAGGUUAUGCAGAAGUGAAUUGUGAAUACAGGCACUGGAUUGUGGAUCACUGGUGUUACCAUGACGAUGAAAAGGAAUGUGUACCAUCAGACCACAUCUCCAUCCACCUCUUGUUAUUUAUCUAACCCUCCUCCCCAUAUUUGGUUCUAGCUUUAUUGAUUGUGGAUUACUGUCCUGUGAACAGGGGGCCUGUGGAACAGACAUGAUGGUGACGGGACCUUCUGGAAGCUGGUACUAUGUGGGAGUCUGAAGGCUCCACAGUGCCUGGGCCUGGUGCAGGGAGGGUAACCGAGUACACUGCUGAACACAGGAAUGCUAGAUCAUAAAUGGGUCUGCAGAUCUAACUCAUCCAGCUGAGAAGUUGGCAUUUGUGUGGGUUGAUUUACUAUUUAUGAAGUCAACAUAAUACAGCACUUAGAUAUUAUUUUUAUUUAAGAUGCCGUAAUUAUUCUUUAUCCUGUAAAUUCAAUUCCAUGUCAUCAUUGGAAAGCUGGAAAUGUUCCUGCGGGAAUGUCACCUGAGGCCUGUAACAGGGCACCUCACCAUGGCAGAAGGACUAUGGGGAGUCGGUCAGCAUGGCCAUGAGCCAAAGGAAAGCAACAGGAGAGCGAGCGUGUGAAACACAGGGCCAGACAUUCACUCAGUGCCGGGGAGCUGGGGAUGCGGAAGGAGCAGGGCAGGAGCAGAAAGGAUCUGCCUGCUGUUUUUACACAGUGUCCCGCUCAGCUUGGGGGCUCUGUGUGUGUGUGUGUGUGUGUGUGUGUGUGAGCAGGUAUACCUAUCCUUUUGGGGACACAAUGUCUCCAUAACGUGAUAAAUAUCAGUUUUUUUUCCCUUAUGGGGACCGGUUUCCUGGUCCCCAUAAGGGAAAACUCUAUUUUAUAAAAAUCGGUGACUGCUAUGAAAAAACUAAAAAUGCAAAAACUCUUGUAUUUUGCUUGGAUACUUAUGGUUAUGGUUAGGGCAGGGUGGGGGUUAAGGUUGUCAUAGUUAGCGUAAUCAUUUAUCCCAUAGAAGUGAAUGAGUGGGCCCCAUAAGGAUAGGUAUACCCUACAUGUGUGUGUGUCUGUGUUUUCAUGUUGUGGGGACAGUUUUUUCAGGUCGCCACAAAUAUCGGUGAAUGCAGUCAAUAAACUAAAAAUGGCAAGAGUCUACUAUUUUGUUGGGUUAUUUAUAAGUAAGGUUAGGGCUGGGUAGGGGUUAAGGUCGUCAUGUUGGGAUUAGAGUUUUCACCAUAGAAAUGGAGAGUACCUACAAAGAUAUUAUAAACUUCUGUGUAUGUGUGUAUUCUCUGGGCACCUUAAGUGGGGAAAAUUACCAGCGUUCAGACAGAAAAUCCCUGACCUGACAUUGUCACUUCACCCUUAGAAUUCUGCACAUGGUGUUUUUAUGUCGUGGUACUCCGUCAUUCUGCACAUGGUGUUUUUAUAGCAUGAUACUCCGUCAUUCUGCACGUGGUGUUUUUAUGAUGUAGUACUCCGUCAUUACUGGAGAAUUAUAUAAAGAAAGUUUACUUGCCACCAUAUGUGAGGGGAAUGUGUGGAUCAGGGGUCUAACCGUGGAUGUGAGUCACACAUGUGGUGCAUUAUCUGAGUCAAUCGUGUUAAACUAUUCAAGUAAUAAAUGACUUUAGAAGAUCUGCUAAA